rnacentral:rRNA from 1 species
GAUGAACGCUGGCGGCGUGCUUAACACAUGCAAGUCGAACGGAAAGGCCCAAGCUUGCUUGGGUACUCGAGUGGCGAACGGGUGAGUAACACGUGGGUGAUCUGCCCUGCACUUCGGGAUAAGCCUGUGAAACUGGGUCUAAUACCGGAUAGGACCACAUUUUGGAUGGUGUGGUGGAAAGUUUUUCGGUGUGGGAUGAGCUCGCGGCCUAUCAGCUUGUUGGUGGGGUAAUGGCCUACCAAGGCGUCGACGGGUAGCCGGCCUGAGAGGGUGUACGGCCACAUUGGGACUGAGAUACGGCCCAGACUCCUACGGGAGGCAGCAGUGGGGAAUAUUGCACAAUGGGCGCAAGCCUGAUGCAGCGACGCCGCGUGGGGGAUGACAGCCUUCGGGUUGUAAACUCCUUUCGCUAGGGACGAAGCGUUUUUGUGACGGUACCUGGAGAAGAAGCACCGGCUAACUACGUG